rnacentral:lncRNA from 1 species
CUUGGGGGACUCUGAACCCCAGAGAGGGAUGCUCUUUGCCCCAUUACCCCGGCCCCUCCUGGUGCCCCCGAGUUGCGACCAGCAUGUGGGCUGCCCCCAGGCACGGGCAGAAAGAAGCCCCGUGAGGCAUCUCACUGGGUUGGCAGCCAGCCUUCCCCAGGCCUCAGGUGCCCGGCCUGGUCGGGCUUGGCUUGUGACUGAGGAGGAAGCCAGGCCUGGAGAGGCUGACUCACCUUCCUGGUCACCAAGCAAAGUGGCUAAGGGGAGAUGCACACCGCGUGGCAGAGUCCAGGGCCUUGGUUUUCCUACUGCCUGAUGUGGCCUCCCCACCAUCGGGGUCUCCAGCAGGGUCCGCCUUUGGGAGCUGAGCUGAGUGGUGUGGGGACAGCAUGGGAGCGGGUGGCUGGGCAGGAGGGAAGAGGCCAGGAACCAGACUGGGCUUUACUCCCGGGCUCUGGCUUCUACUCUUCCUGAUUUGGCAGGUGACUGUGCUUUGUCAACACCCUCCUGUGGCUUCCCUUGGUGCCAGUCUAUUUUACUAUUUUAUUUAUUUUUAUUGUUGAUGUUUCAGGGUGGUUCUUCUCCUUCUCCUUCCCAGAGGGGCUUUACCACUGAGCUACAUCCCCAACCUUUUUUAUUUUUUAUUUUGAGACAGAGUCAUACUAAGUUGCUUAGGGCCUUGCUUAGGCCUGGCCUCAAACUUGCAAUCCUCCUGCCUCCAUCUCCAGAGCUGCUGGGAUGACGGGCAUGUGUCAUUGCACCCAACUUUUUUAUUAUUUAAGCUUAUUAUUUUUUUUUAAUUAAGUUUACGCCAUUGAGUUUAUUGUUUUACUUAUUGGGGGGUGGUGCUUGGGAUGGAACCCAGGGCCUGGCACGUGCUAGCCAGGUGCUAGCCAGGGAACCGCAGCCCAGAGGCUUUAUUCACUUUUAUUUAUUUAAAUUCAAAUACUCCGAAGAGCUGCAGUGUGCUUUGCAAUGCUGCGAGGCAGGAGCUUUGAGCAGGCCUUGCUUCAGGCCCUGGGUUCCAUCCCCAGCACCGCAAAAAAGAAAGAAAGGAGCAAGGAAGCUGCUCAGGGUCACACAGCGGGGACACCUGCCCUCCCUGGGGCUGCAUUGGCACAAACCUGGACAGGAUGGGGGCCUUUGGCAUGUGCAGAUGGGGACGUGCGUUGACUGGAGAGAUUGAGAGUGCGAAACAGGGAGAGAGGGGAUCAAUGGCCCAUUAAUUGCCUAAAAACGCGACACCAGGUCAGCUUCAUUCUCGGAGGAAGGAUCCUGGAGUCUCCCUCCCAUCGGGAGGAAUGACCGGUUCGCACUUCUCCCUAAGCAUUGCCAAGAAGUCUUCGCCAGUGGUAACCAACCACACCACGCCUAAUUGCAAAAGCAGGACUGUGUUUAAAUCACGUCUUGCAAAAAGUUUCUACAGCUAACAAAGAGACACCUAAUUUGGGACGUGGGUGUGUUUGGGAAGGUUUGCGACGGCGCCUUGAAGGCGCGAAGUCCAGGUGGAGCGCGGUGGGGCAGGCCGCAAGACCUCGCAAC